UGGUCCUACGGGACGCAGCAGUCGAGAAUCAUUCACAAUGGGGGAGACCCUGAUGGUGCGACGCCGCGUGGGGGAAUGAAGGUCUUCGGAUUGUAAACCCCCGUCAUGUGGGAGCAAAUUAAAAAGAUAGUACCACAAGAGGAAGAGACGGCUAACUCUGUGCCAGCAGCCGCGGUAAUACAGAGGUCUCAAGCGUUGUUCGGAAUCACUGGGCGUAAAGCGUGCGUAGGCUGUUUCGUAAGUCGUGUGUGAAAGGCGCGGGCUCAACCCGCGGACGGCACAUGAUACUGCGAGACUAACGUAAU
rnacentral:rRNA from 1 species